CCUGAACUUGAGUAGGGCCCAAGCCAGCCUGGAAGGAGGAGGCAGCCAGAGUGUUCUCUGCAGCAGAAGACUCCUUGCUGCCCUGCUUAACCCAGACCAGCAUUUUCCAGCAGCCAUGUCCACAAUGAUCCUCUCUUCUGCUAUGCUGUAAAGAGCUAUGUUGAUUGGCCAAUUGUACAGGACACACACUACAAAAUACCUAAGUAUUUGUACGACUGUGGAGUUUGAAGGAACCCCAACUAGUCAACAAAAAUGCAAGUUCAAAGUUAUAGGUGCAAAUCUCAGACUGAACAGCUAUUUACAAGAAUCCAUCCAGGUAAUUCACAGCUUCCCGAGGCUGCUUCUCAGGAUAGAAAUUUACUUGGUUGCCGUGGAAACCAAGAGAACCGGUUACUGCCUGCACCAUUCUAAACAUCUGCUCAGUCAGUUGAGGAAGCAGUAGUUCUGCAUGAAAGAGGGGGAGAAGGGAAGGAGUGACAUCACGGUCAAAGACUGGUGGAUUCCACCCCCUUCAGAGGCUGGUGAUACGUCUGGAUGUCAUACUGUCAGAACUAAGCUGUAGAGAGAGGCUAUGGAACUGGCAGAAAAACCAUUCUAAUCUGCUGUUUGUUCAACUGUCUCCAUUUUCAGUGGCUCCUAGCCAAAUUUCCUUCUCCUGGGUGGUUGGAGGGAGAUUCUGGAACCUUCCUCAGGAGCUUCUUGAGACCUUCCAUUAGAAUGGCAUUCCUGCUCUUGAAAUUGCUUGCUAAUAUGUGCUUGUAACUAGGUGUAGUGUAGGCAACUUCAAAAGGGCACACAAGGUCAAGCAUCAGUGAAGGAGGACUCCAAAUGUCUGCCCAUCAGCAAAUGCUGCUCUUGGCUCCUGUACUAUGGACUUGGAAAGUUACUCUGUGGUUCCUGAUGAGUCAAAGGAGAAUACCAGUGAUGGCUUCUUUCUUUCCAUUCUAACUGUAUCCCAAAACCGCCCUCAGUAGACCAAGGGGAGUUAUGCUUCUGUUAUGCCGAGGUGGAUGAUGUGUUAAGAAAAUAAGCAAACCUAAAUGAAAGGAAGGGACAGCAAUCUGCAGGAUAGGCUGAGGGUGAGGAAUUCUUACUUUAUUUGGAAUCUGCCCAGAAUUAGAAUGUUUUACCUAGUAUGAUCAGAAGCAGGGAUGUUGUGGAAUAUAUUUGUGUGCCCCAACAUAAAGGUUGUAUCAUUUUAUGAAAUUUAGAGAAAUGAAAGCUACCUGGCAAGUAGCCUGCCUGGGCUUUUAUUUUAGAAUAUUGACUGUAUGUGCAUGUUUUUUUUUAACACAGUCUCCAUGUUAUUCAUUGGUAUCUUUGUAGUUCUAUAGAUGACUAAACCUAGGCAAAUGAGCAGUGGCUCUUAUUCACAAAAACAACAGGAGAAAAAUUUAAAUUUAAACACACUUUAGUGAGUUAUUGUAACAUAGCAAUUAACAGAAUGAGCUCUGAACCAGGAAGU